AGCGAACGCUGGCGGCGUGCCUAACACAUGCAAGUCGAACGUGAAAGGGAGCAAUCCCAAGUAAAGUGGCGUACGGGUGAGUAACACGUAGGUAAUCUACCCCAGAAUCUGGAAUAACCGGCCGAAAGGCUGGCUAAUACUGGAUAGAGCGACGGAAUCCGUAAUUGGGUUUUUCGGGAAAGGGAGCCUGUAAAAAGGCCUUCGUUCUGGGAUGAGCCUGCGUCCCAUCAGCUAGUUGGUGAGGUAAAAGCUUACCAAGGCAAUGACGGGUAGCUGGUCUGAGAGGACGAUCAGCCAAACUGGAACUGAAACACGGUCCAGACUCCUACGGGAGGCAGCAGUGGGGAAUCUUGCGCAAUGGACGAAAGUCUGACGCAGCAACGCCGCGUGAGUGAAGAAGGCCUUCGGGUUGUAAAGCUCUGUCGAGUGGGACGAAAAUGCUUGGAGUUCACAGCUCCAGGAACUGACGGUACCACUAAAGGAAGCACCGGCUAACUCCGUG
rnacentral:rRNA from 1 species